UAGCGCGCAGACUAGACUGCUAGGCAGCCGAGUAACCGGGGUAUUGGAACCAAUUGGAACGCAGCCUUGGACUCCACAUCGCUGAAAGAUGCAAGCGCCACCUGGCAAACUGGGAAAGGCGAACAAGGAGCGCCCUGCGCAAUCGAAUCGACCCCAGGUGCCCCAGGCAACAAGCGCAGCAAGCCUCCCCUUCGGAUGGACGACCGGAAGCGGACCCUGACGGAUCCCAAAACCCGGAGAGCCCCGAAAUAUCACAGAGGCAGCCCUGACUCCAGUCUGGACCGUUCCUGACGGCCCUGACCCAGCAUGUGGUAUCCUAAGAUACCUGCCCUGACUCAAAAGGGAAUAGGCAACCCUAAACCUAAACCUAUCGAGACUUGAAAAUCUGACCAAUCUGACAUACUUUACUUAGUUUUCGUGAUAUCGAUAACACGAUUGAAACAUCGAGAGACAAAAACCACCGAUAGUAUCGCCAAUUACCAAGUCGUGUGCGCACGCGUUUCUUUGCUUUGACACGGAUCAUACAGAAGUCUGUCAUGGUAAUAAAAAAAUGGCCAGGAAGCAAGCGAGCUGGUGAAGAUGUGAAAAAAUGACUAGGAAGCAAGCGAGCUGGUGAAGAUGUGAAAAAAUGGCUUAGAAGCAAGCGAGCUGGUGAAGAUGUGUUUGUGUUUGACUUCGUGUUUGUGUCUGUCCCUUCGUGUUCCUUAGUCUCGGGGGUUUUACAUCAUGUAUCUAUCAUGGUGCCCACCUUGGUGCCCAUUUCGCUUUGUGCCGUUUUGGCGUCAUAGUGAUGUAAUGGCUCUGAGCAAUAAUCAUGUAAUUUAAUUACAAAGCUUUCACGAGCGAUCUAUGAAUCGCUAAAUAUAGACCAACUUUACAUGUGUUAAAGAGCAACUGUACACUGCUGCAUUAGAAAAUUAGCGCAGAAAACUCUGGUUUCAGAAAAAAAGUUUUGCUUGAUUUUCCUGAUUUCCCCGAAGUACAGAUUUUCAAUUACAUCAUUAUUGCAGAGAGCCAUUCAACUAGAAAUAUGGCGGUGGACUAACGCGUAUGCAAUGUCGAACUUGCUCUAUGUUUCGCCGUAUAGCAAUGCCCAUUCACACUAUGCUGCUGUGCCGUAGCUAUAAUGUUUGCCUUUUUUCCUGUUACUUCUUGUGUUUUAUUGCCUUCAGUACGUGCGCAAAUGAAAGAGCUCUUCCCCUGCAUUUCAGAGGCGUCAUGGACGUCACCGCUCAGUGCAAGCCAGUAGUCUACGCUGAUGAUUUUCAUUUGUGCUUACUGCAACUGUACCUCCAAUAGGAAACGUAUGCCACGUGAAGAAACAUGUACGAGUCGUCCAUGCGUGGAAUAGGCGCUGAUGUGUUCGGAUGGAGUGGUAUACAGAUAAUCCCAACUGCUAUGAGUGCAGGUUCAUGGGUGUCCCCUUCCCUAUUUUCACAGCUGUUCAUUUUGAGGUGCACUAUCCCGAGCCCCUGAAGGGUGUCACCAGGAACAUAAUACGGAGUCCUGCAGUUGGCUGCAGAAUUGUCAGUCAUUGCAUCGGCUCACGAGUUUCUCCAAUGUUGUGCUGGAAGCUCAACCAAACUCCAGUUGUCUUCAGUUUUCCUGAAUUGGUUGGGCCCAAAGCAGAAGCCUGCAUAGAUGUUUUCAGAUGCCAUUAACCAUAGAUAUAGCCAUGGUUCAGAUAGUAAACUAUGUGUGUCAAGAAGGGAAUGAGGCUCCAUCAUAUUUUUAUCUCUCAAAUUUGAGUAAACAAAUGACUGUGUCAGGUUUGGCUGUCAAAAGCUCCGCAAACGCAGCUGCUGUACUCUAGGCUGCUAUGGAGUGUGUAAAAGUGACUCUAAUACUUGUGAGGUAUGCAUAUGUUACAUCUACUAUGAACUAGUAAUGUUGUAUCACUCCAGAGAAAGCAGCAGGUCAUUCAGAAGCUUCCAGUAGCAACCUUUUCCUUUUUUUUUCAGUGUUUUGAGAAAAGAUAGUAAGAUUUGAACUGACCAUUAAGGGGUGUGCAUGGCCCUUUCAGCAUGACCACCAGUGUGUCCAGAUGGGCUCAAAAUGUACUGUGAUGUGUAAUUGGAGCAGCUGAUGCCUAAUCUACAGGGGUGUGUCUUACCAGUCUUGCAACACUGCUGCAACAAAAGGGAUGUGAACUUUAAGGGACAUAACUGUUUUCGAGCUUAGCCUUAUUAACCUGUAAUAAAUAAUAUGGGUUGCUUAUUUUCGGAUUUUAUCAUCUUCUGUGUGCCUUUCUUGGUAGUAUAUCAAUCUUAUCUAAUGCUGUCGUAUUACAGAGUGGGACACUUGAUACGUGUGUGCCAUUUAUUCUAUGUCUUGGUUCGUUGGUUGGUGUGAUGAACAUAGUAUGUAUGUCUAUCUGGUUAAGUUGCUGCUGCUGUUUAUGCUGAGCUUUGUGUGCACAUACUUGUGAGAUAGUAAUAUUAUAUUUAUUGUAACAGUGAGCAAUAAGAGUAGUAAUGAUGAUGGAAGUGAGGGAAGUGGAAAGUCAGUGGUGAAGCCAGCAGACUUAUGUACAUUGCAGUUCAACAUUUGGACCAGGGCCGGCGUUUACUGGGGGGCAAGGGGUGCAAAAAAGACACCUUUCAGGAAGCAAGAAUGGGGGGGGGGUACAAAUUUCCCACUUGUCCCCCUGGAGGCAAAAAGUAGAUGCCGGUACUGUUUUGGACUAAAAUCUUACCCACUGCUGGCUGGCAAUAACUUGUAAUUCCUGUUCCAGAUCGACUCUUCAAGUGUGACUUCUGCAGCUACACCUCAAAUCGAAGGCACAAUUUGCGGAGGCAUUCUAUGAGACACACAAGGAUAAGCCUGUUCCCAUUCAACACCUGUGGCCAAGGUCCUGAGGUUCAGCCAUCAUCUAUCAGUUUCGUGUAAUGGUGGUAAAGAAGCACUGUAUCAACGAGUCUUGCUACAGCAGGUCUGACAUUUUCGUAACGUGCUCAGAGAUUUGUUUUCUUUUUUCUGCUUUGCUGCUAUUGUACGUGAACAACUUUGUAUAGCUGGACAUAAAGCAAAGAUAUCCACAA